rnacentral:rRNA from 1 species
GAUUAACGCUGGCGGCGUGCAUAACACAUGCAAGUCGAACGAUGAAACUUAACUGAUUUCUUCGGAAUGAUUUUAAGUGGAUUAGUGGCGGACGGGUGAGUAAUGCGUGAGUAACCUGCCUUGGAGAAGGGGAUAGCCUUUGGAAACGAAGAAUAAUACCCUAUGAUAUGAUAAUAUCUCAUGAUAUUAUCAUCAAAGAUUUAUCGCUCUAAGAUGGACUUGCGUCUGAUUAGUUAGUUGGUGAGGUAACAGCUCACCAAGGCAGCGAUCAGUAGCCGGCUUGAGAGAGUGUACGGCCACAUUGGGACUGAGACACGGCCCAGACUCCUACGGGAGGCAGCAGUGGGGAAUUUUGCACAAUGGGGGAAACCCUGAUGCAGCGACGCCGCGUGAUUUAGAAGGCCUUCGGGUUGUAAAAAUCUUUUGUAUGGGAAGAAAAUGACAGUACCAUACGAAUAAGGACCGGCUAAUUACGUG